rnacentral:rRNA from 1 species
GUCCUCUUGAUGAUAUUUUGAGGUCUGGCCUGCUCACUGACAAGGUUUUGAAGAGCCGCGGUAUUUUGACCGUGCAAAGGUAGCAUAAUCAUUAGUCUCUUAAUUAGGGGCUGGAAUGAAUGGCUUGACGAGAAAUCAACUGUCUCUUAAUAAUUUUUAGAAUUUAACUUUUGAGUCAAAAGGCUUAAAUUUUUCUUUAGGACGAGAAGACCCUAUAGAGCUUAACAUUUUAUUUUUAUAUAGUUUUUAGUUGAUCUUUCUAUAUUUAAUGAUAAUGUUUUGUUGGGGUGACAUGAAGAAUAAUUAAACUCUUCAUUAUAAAAUCAUUGAUUUAUGUUUAUCAUGAUCCAUAAUUUAUGAUCAUAAGAUUAAGUUACCUUAGGGAUAACAGCGUAAUUGUUUUCGAGAGCUCAUAUCGACAAAGCAGAUUGCGACCUCGAUGUUGGAUUAAGAAAAAUUUUGGGUGCAGGAGCCCAAUAAUUAGGUCUGUUCGACCUUUAAAUUCUU